CCUCAUCGCCCUCGCCAUCCGCACCGACAACCGCCUACAGGAACGGAGGCGGCAGCGUGGGCCCAGAGGGACACCCGCUGCACCUGGCCCUUCCCCGACGCUCUGGGGCGCCGCAUCGCGUCAAACCUCCCCUGAGCGACUCUCAAGAACCCGUGCCGGAGGCGAGGAGGAGCCCAUGCAGAUGGGGAGGGCCCGGCUCUCUCAAGAGGAACGACAGCGACGCUACCAGGAGGGCAGAUGCUUUUACUGCGGCGAGCGUGGCCACCUCAUCACCGCCUGUCCAGUAAAGGCCAACCAGUCGGUGGCGUUUCACUGGUCCGCCGAGGCAGACGCGGCCUUCCAGGAGCUUAAGCGGCGCUUCACUACAGC
ensembl:lncRNA